rnacentral:rRNA from 1 species
UACAGAGGUCCCAAGCGUUGUUCGGAUUCAUUGGGCGUAAAGGGUGCGUAGGCGGCGCGGUAAGUCGGGUGUGAAAUCUCGGGGCUUAACUCCGAAACUGCAUUCGAUACUGCCGUGCUUGAGGACUGGAGAGGAGACUGGAAUUUACGGUGUAGCGGUGAAAAUGCGUAGAUAUCGUAAGGAAGACCAGUGGCGAAGGCGAGUCUCUGGACAGUUACCGACGCUGAGGCACGAAGGUCAGGGGAGCAAACGGG